rnacentral:tRNA from 1 species
GGCGCUGUGGCGUAGUGGGUUAACGCCCUGGCCUGAAACGCCAGCAUCCCAUAUGGGCACCAGUUCUAGUCCCAGCUGCUCCU